UACGUAGGGUCCAAGCGUGAUCCGGAAUCACUGGGCGUAAAGCGUUCGUAGGUGGUCUGUUAAGUGAGAUGUGAAAGCGUGUGGCUCAACCAUAUCGUUGUGUUUCAUACUGGCAGACUAGAGGGAAGCAGAGGCAAGUGGAAUUGGCAGUGUAGCAGUGAAAUGCGUAGAGAUUGCCAGGAACACCAAUGGCGAAGGCAGCUUGCUGGGCUUUUUCUGACACUGAGGGACGAAAGCGUGGGGAGCGAACAGG
rnacentral:rRNA from 1 species